rnacentral:rRNA from 1 species
UACGUAGGGUGCGAGCGUUGUCCGGAAUUAUUGGGCGUAAAGAGCUCGUAGGUGGCUUGUCACGUCGGGUGUGAAAGCUUGGGGCUUAACUCCAGGUCUGCAUUCGAUACGGGCUGGCUAGAGGUAGGUAGGGGAGAACGGAAUUCCUGGUGUAGCGGUGAAAUGCGCAGAUAUCGGGAGGAACACCGGUGGCGAAGGCGGUUCUCUGGGCCUGUACUGACGCUGAGGAGCGAAAGCGUGGGGAGCGAACAGG